rnacentral:rRNA from 1 species
GACGUAGGAGGCGAGCGUUGUCCGGAUUCAUUGGGCGUAAAGAGCACGCAGGCGGUUUGGCAAGUCGGACGUGAAAAUCCGGGGCUCAACCCCGGACCUGCAUCCGAAACUGCCCGACUAGAGGUAGGUAGGGGAGAUCGGAAUUCCUGGUGUAGCGGUGAAAUGCGCAGAUAUCAGGAGGAACACCGGUGGCGAAGGCGGAUCUCUGGGCCUUACCUGGCGCUCAGGUGCGAAAGCUAGGGGAGCGAACAGG